GCCACCUCAAGUGGUAGCCACUAUUAUUGGGCCUAAAGCGUUCGUAGCCGGCCUGGUAAAUUCUUGGGCAAAUCGUACCGCUCAACGGUGCGGAUUCCGGGGAGACUGCCAGGCUUGAGACCGGGGGAGAUCAGAGGUACUUGCGGGGGAGCGGUGAAAUGUUGUAAUCCCACAGGGACCACCAAUGGCGAAGGCAUCUGAUCAAAACGGCUCUGACGGUGAGGGACGAAACCCUGGGGCGCAAACGGGAUUAGAUACCCCGGUAGUCCAGGGCGUAAACGCUGCUGACUUGGUGUUGGGGGUCCUACGAGGGCGUCCAGUGCCGGCGCGAAGGUAUUGAGUCAGCCGCCUGGGGAGUAUGGUCGCAAGACUGAAACUUAAAGGAAUUGGCGGGGGAGCACUGCAACGGGUGGAGCGUGCGGUUUAAUUGGAUUCAACGCCGGAAAACUCACCGGGGGCGACGAUUACAUGAAGGCCAGGCUGAUGACCUUGCCUGAUUUUUCGAGAGGUGGUGCAUGGCCGCCGUUAGUUCGUACCGUAAGGCGUUCUGUUAAGUCAGAUAACGAACGAGACCCUCAUCGCCAUUUGCUAGGCUCCUCUCCGGAGGGGUUGCACUAUGGCGAUACCGCCACUGCUGAAGUGGAGGAAGGAGGGGGCAACGGUAGGUCAGUAUGCCCCGAAUCUCCCGGGCUACACGCGCGCUACAAAGGGCAGGACAAUGGGCUUCGACGCCGAAAGGCGGAGGCAAUCCCUAAACCUGCUCGUACUUCGGAUUGAGGGCUGCAAUUCGCCCUCAUGAAGCUGGAAUCCGUAGUAAUCGCGGGUCAACAUCCCGCGGUGAAUAUGCCCCUGCUCCUUGCACACACCGCCCGUCAAACCACCUUAGUUGGGUCUGGACGAGGGCACGCCUUCUGGCGCGCUCGAA
rnacentral:rRNA from 1 species